AGACGCUGGAGAGAACCAGUUGUAAGAUUCGACCAGUGGGGACCGUGAUUCAAUGGAGCAAGACCCUGCUAUUUACAGAAUGGAGAUCAUCUGAGUGACCCAGCACUUUGCUGUCUCUGAGAAGAUUCCAGAAGUGAGCACAUACUAGGACAGCCUCGACACAAAGAAACUUCCGAGAUGGGGUGCGAGACAAUGUUCAACUCCAUUUUGCUGGUUAAAGUACUGAGGAAGAUUGAGAAAUCGAGGCGAAUGCAAAAGGCAAGCAAGAGCUCAGAGCUGACUGCCUUCCUUUCGUUCACUGCCGAGGAGGUUUCUAUGAGCGGCCUAUCACUGUGUGGCUCACUGUGCAGGCAGAAGUUGUUUGCCAUCGCCUUCUUCUGGGCAGAGUCUUUAUAUGACAGGUGACAUCAGCCUUCAUCAAUACUCUUCAGAGACUGUCUGCCUGGCAUCAGUGGUUGCAUAACCAGGAUGUAAUGUGCACCAGCUGCUCACAUGGCUUUAAUGACCUUGAUUGGGGGACUGAGCAGAUGCUACACCUCGCCCAAGGAUAACCUGCUACCCAAUUUAUAUUCACAAUGGAUUUAAAACUGAAAGCAAUAAUGAAAUGGGGAGAGCUGACUCUUCAUAAUUAGAGUCCAAUCAAUGGCCAGGGAAUAUAAUUAACAUGCCAAUUCUCAACUUAUCACAAAAUAAGAUUCUAGACAAAACAUUGUCUGAGUGUAUGUUCCCUGAUAUGUUCACUAUACG